UACGUAGGUGGCAAGCGUUAUCCGGAUUUACUGGGUUUAAAGGGUGCGUAGGUGGGUAGGUAAGUCAGUGGUGAAAUCUUCGAGCUUAACUCGGAAACUGCCAUUGAUACUAUUUAUCUUGAAUACUCUGGAGGUAAGCGGAAUAUGUCAUGUAGCGGUGAAAUGCUUAGAUAUGACAUAGAACACCAAUUGCGAAGGCAGCUUACUACAUAGUUAUUGACACUGAGGCACGAAAGCGUGGGGAUCAAACAGG
rnacentral:rRNA from 1 species